AUUGGGAUCCAUGGGAUGGGAAUGGGAAUGGGAAUGGGAAUGGGAAUGGGAAUGGGAAUGGGAAUGGGAAUGGGAGUGGGAAUAGAAUGGGAACGGGAAUAGGGUGGGAAGGGGAUGGAGAGCAGGUGGAGUGAUGGGAUUGCAGUUAUGGUGACGAGGUGAAGGAAUGGAGAAGGAUGGGAAUGGGGUAUGGAACAUGGAGAGCAGCUGGAAUAGGAUGGACAGGAUGAAAAUGGGGGGAAAAACUGGGGAAAAUCCGUGUUUGUGGGGGUGGAGAUAUUCCCAAAUUGCUGCGGGUGUCUCGGGCAUGUGCCAAAGGGACACGGCUCUGCUUGGAUGUGAUUCCAAGGGCUGCCCGUGCUGUGUCCAUCCAUGGCACCGCCCUCCAUCACCCCAGGAGUCAUGGAAUGGUUUGGGUUGGGAGAGACCUUAAAUCCCAUGAAUGCCACCCUUGCCAUGGGACACCUUCCACUAUCCCAGGCUGCUCCGAGCCCCCGUCCAACCUGUCCUUGGACACUUCCAGGGAUGGAGCAUCCCGAACAAAUCCAUGGGAACGCUGCCACCUGUGGGAUGCGGUGGCCAUUCCCUCUUUUUACCGCCCUGCAACUCCCUGACUUUUCCCGCCCUGGAAAACGAGGGAUCACCACAUUUUCCUCCCUUCCCACGCAGCCGUCCGGGUCUGGAUCCGGCCGUCCCCAGACGUGCGGGAAGGGGACGCUGCCACCCUCACCUGCGCGGUGGCAGGAGGGGACCAGGACGUGCUGAGCUACACCUGGUACCGGAACCAGGUGUGGUUGGCCACCGGCUCUUCCCAAAAUCUCACCUUCCCUGGGGUCACCGCCUCCGACGCCGGCUCCUACCAGUGCUCCAUACGGACCCCGGCCCGGAACCACAGCGCCAUCCCUGCCACCCUCAGCGUGCUCUACCCUCCCAGGAACCUGCGGCUGCAAUCCUUCGCCGAGAGCAGCCAGGGCACGGCCACCAUCCUGCUGUGCGCCGUGGACAGCCACCCCCCGGCCCAGCUGACGCUGCUCAGGGGGGGACACCCGCUGGCCUCCAGCCCCGCCGGAGGAGGUGACACCCCCCGGCAGAGCAUCCGCGUGUCCCCCUCUCCCAACGCGCUGCGCCUGGAAUUCCGGGAAGCCUCCGAGGAGGAUGAGGGCGAAUACGAGUGCCAGGCACGGAGCGCCCUCGGCGACGCCCGCGCGUCCCUCACGCUCCGCGUGCAAGGUGAGGAGGGGGACAAGGGGACAGUGGGGACACUCGGGGACACUCCCAGGGUGGCAUCGAAGGGGUCAGGAUUGGGGGCGCCCCGUUUUGGAAGGGCUGGAGGUUGGGGAUGCCCAGGGUGAGCACCCACCCCCCUC
rnacentral:lncRNA from 1 species